rnacentral:rRNA from 1 species
UACGUAGGGUGCGAGCGUUUGUCCGGAAUUAUUGGGCGUAAAGAGCUCGUAGGCGGCUUGUCGCGUCGGAUGUGAAAGCCCGGGGCUUAACUCCGGGUCUGCAUUCGAUACGGGCAGGCUAGAGUUCGGUAGGGGAGACUGGAAUUCCUGGUGUAGCGGUGAAAUGCGCAGAUAUCAGGAGGAACACCGAUGGCGAAGGCAGGUCUCUGGGCCGAUACUGACGCUGAGGAGCGAAAGCGUGGGGAGCGAACAGG